AGUAAACCCUGGGGGAGUUGUAACAACUGAGAGCCUGUAAAACACGGGCAACCCCUUGAACCUGAUCUGGGUAAUGCCAGCGUAGGGAAGCGGUUUGGAUGAUGG
rnacentral:ncRNA from 2 species